AGGCGGUCGACGCUACAUGGAAGGUUGUCUGCGAUUGGAGGAGGAGGUGGCGGGCGGCAUGUUGUCUCGCUGUUUAAGUUGCGGAGGAGCAGCUGUGGCGGUUAUUUUGCCGUUGGAGGUGUUUCAUGGGGGUCUUGGGGCUUUAGUCCCCUGCUCCCGAUGAGUCCGGCUCUAGCCGCAGGGAUAUGAGCUCAAUGAACCACGCCGGGGGGACCUCCCCUCGCUCCAGAAGGCUGGCAACCCCCCAUGUCUCAUCCAGGCAUGCUAGUUCUCAGUCUCCAAGUCAGGGGGACUUUACUCCUCUCCCUUCAAUCAAUGAGCAUUUGGCUUUUCUCUGUCCCUCCCGGGAGCUGCUGGAAUACUACCGCAAGGUGAUCGCUGACUUUGAUAGGGAGCAUGAGGAUUUGGUUAAAAGGCUGGAGAGAUACAAAGAAACGUAUGAUGAGCAGCACAAAUUGCAGUGGGAAGUACGUCAGAGAGAAGAAGAGAUUGCAGAGUUACAAAAGGCUUUGAGUGGUAUGCAAGUCUGCCUCUUCCAGGAAAGGGAACACGUCCUUCGGCUUUACUCAGAGAAUGACCGGCUGAAAAUCAGGGAACUGGAGGAUAGAAAAAAAAUUCAAUAUCUCUUGGCUUUAGUGGGAACAGACAAAGGAGAAGUUACAUAUUUUCACAAAGAGCCUCCACAUAAGGUUACUGUUCUGCAAAAGCCAGCUAAAUCCAGAGUAUCACAUGAACAAAAUGACACUUCUAGAACAGGCGCCAAGAGGAACACUUCAAUACCAGCAGCAAAAGGCGAGAAACCAGAAAGUCCUGAGAGGUAUCAGAGAGAUACUCAAACACUUCUACUUCAGGUGGAGGCCCUGCAAGCUCAGAUAGAAGAACAGACACGAUUAUCCAAGGAACAGGUUGAGGCACUGUUAGAGGACAGGCGGAUUCACAUGGAGGAAGCGCAGGUCCAGCAUCAGAGGGACCAGGACAAGAUCAAAACUAUAACAGAUAAACUCCAUAAAACUCAAAAUCUCUUAUACGAGAGUACUCGUGACUUUCUCCAGCUCAAAUUUGAUGCCCGAGCCAAUGAGAAAGCAUGGAUGGCAGAGAAGGACAGUCUUUUGAGGAAACUUGACAAAAAUAGGGGUAUCAGCAAGGAUCCAGGAAGAGAGAAGCAGAGAGAUACCAAGAAGACACUUCAAGCAGAUGAUAGAGCUUCGAAACUCAACAGCCGAGAACUAAAAUCACUGCAAGAGCAGCUAAUGCAGGAGCAGCGCCUAUCAAGCAUGUAUAGAGAGCAGUGCAUCACCCUGGAAGAUGAGCUAGCGAGGAUUCGUGAGGAAGGAGAUGCUGGCAGAGAACUCUUUAAGGAACGUUCAGAAAAGAUGGUUAAGCGCCUGAAGCUGAUGACUCAGCGAUAUGAGGCCUUGGAAAAACGUCGUAAUAUGGAAGCGGAAGGCUUCAUGAAUGACAUUAAACAGCUUCGGCAGAAGCUGAAAGAUGUAGAGAAGCAGCUUUUUAAGGUGACUCUGAAUAUGGGACCAGACCAGGAUCUUGCAAUUCUACACGAGGUCUGCCAAGGAAACAGACUAACUCGUAAAAUUCAAGGAGAACUGAAAAACUUAAAAGCAAAAAUCUUUGUCUUGGAGAAUAAAUUACGAGUCUGCUGAAGCAGAGAUAAGAUAUCAAAGUUAUCACAGGUCCUGGAAGGCUACUUCUGAAAAUUGCUACGUAAUGAAGUAUGAGUCACUUAGUCAGCAGGAUCAGCCGGUGGGAAGCUGGCAAGAAGGUAAGGAAGGAGUGCAUAUAUUUCAGAAAGGAUGUUGAAAUACUGGGUAAGGCACAGAACUACUGAAGAUUCAGCAGAAGAGAAGCAGUUGUGCAAGAGCUUGUAUUGCAUUAAGAAGACUGAUUAAUAUACAUAUACCUUGCAGAUGAAAAGUUACCAAAGGCCUCUCCCAGCAGAGGAAGGCUGAGCAAGAACUGGUAGCAUGAACCUGAAGUUAGUAAAAAUAGGAGCAUGCAUUUUUAACAGGAAGGUUGUGCUUUUCCCCUCAUUAUAAGAAACUGUGGAGGUAACAAAUUCUCCCAUCUCUAUCUGCAAAGCAAAAAAUUAUUGUACCUCUGGGGAAGGUAGCUUGUUUUAAUAAGUUACAGGAUUUGACACCUUAGAACUUAAUGAAAUAUUAUGAUAUGAACUAACAGGAAAUCAUUUAAUAGCUCCUUCUGGCUUUAAACCUUUGAUUAAUUUAUAUGCGAUAUUGGUAUGAGUUUUUCAGCAUACCUGCAAUUGCUUUCAUUAUAGGAAUGAAUGCUGCAUCCGCUCACCUACACAGCAAGGGUACACAAGGUAAAAAGAAAAUAAAUAAAACCUUAAAUCUCUCAUGAUCUUCUUAUACCACACCUUGCAGUAAUUCCUAAAUUAAUUGACACCGUGUGCUUUGAAAAGCAGGUUAACAGUAGCCAUAGUUCUGAUAGCUGUUGGACUAAAGCCAAAUAGUAGCACUGUAUGUACUUGUAUGCCAUGGCUGUACUUAAAUUGCUUAUGUGAGUAAUAGUAUUGAUGCAUAAACACAGAUGUUUUACCAGUAUGGAUGGACUCUGGGCAGCUUGAUAUUCUGGAAUUGGAAUGGCUCUGGGUGUAUGCCAGGAAGUAAUUCUUUGAUAUUUCUGUCUUUUUUCUAUGAUAUUUUGCCUUUAUAUUUCUAAGUUAUUUUGAAUUGUAAGAAAUAUCUAUCCCCUUUAAUCCCAAAACAGUUACUUCUUAAAUUUGGAAGUCUAGAUGUAGACAUACAUAAACACACUUUCUAGUGCUUGGACUGGGAUUAUGUACCAAAAUAUACUUGGAUACAGCAUAAAAAGCAUGAGAGGUGAAAGCUGUGAUGAUUCCUUUUGGCUGCUGUUUUUCAUAGGGUUCUAGGCACAAAGAACAAAGUUUGUUCUGAUUCUUACGUUGCAUCAGAAGUAUAGGACUUUGUCUGAAACCAGGCUGUCAGAGGUAACUGGCGUUUAACCCACCAGCAGGAAACGUUUCUUCUACGACUGAAGUAUUUGAGAAGAGUGGGAUGGACUUUUGGUGUUUCCCUUGUAGCACCAAAUGAAUAGUUUAGAGAAAGGGCAGCUUUGGAUGUGAGCUGGAGUGGUUGCUCUUCACAUAAGCUCCAAAAAUACAGCUUUAUAAAUGGCUCAACAGGGCUGACUAUUCAUACUAACUACAUUUCCUGUUUUGAGAAUUGUGAUGCUGUUGCAUUGUGGACAGAUGAUGUGUGUAAAUAUGGAUUAUUUGGUUCUAUUCUGAUAACCCAGAGAGGGUUCCAACACAGAAGUGUAUCAAUGUUAAAGCAAGACAGUUAUUAACUACGCAGGCAUGAAGGGUUUCAUUGUUGGAAUAUGUUUGUUUUGAAUAAAAAAAAAGCUCUCAAUUUACCCUGGUGAAGAAUGCCUGGGAUGUGCUGGGUUCUCCUGUAUUGAUUCAGAGGCUAAAUGGCCUUUUUGUCACACUAAACAUUUAUCUCAGGGUAAAGUCACUUCUAAACAACCCAGUAAAACAGAGUUUUCCUCUUUGGGACUAGCUUGGGCAGAUUGAAUUCUGCUCAGUGUCAUCACAGGGAGAACCGCACCAUGUUGUGUUCUGUAGUCGCCCUGAUAAAAUGAUUGUGGCACAUCUUUGGAACUUCUUGAAACAUAAGGAUGAUGAGCACAGGCAUUUAAAAAAAAAAACAAA